AUUGAACGCUGGCGGCAUGCCUUACACAUGCAAGUCGAACGGCAGCGGGGGAGAAGCUUGCUUUUCCUGCCGGCGAGUGGCGAACGGGUGAGUAAUACAUCGGAACGUGCCCUGUAGUGGGGGAUAACUAGUCGAAAGAUUAGCUAAUACCGCAUACGACCUGAGGGUGAAAGUGGGGGACCGCAAGGCCUCAUGCUAUAGGAGCGGCCGAUGUCUGAUUAGCUAGUUGGUGGGGUAAAGGCCUACCAAGGCGACGAUCAGUAGCUGGUCUGAGAGGACGAUCAGCCACACUGGGAAUGAGACACGGCCAAGACUCCUACGGGAGGCAGCAGUGGGGAAUUUUGGACAAUGGGCGAAAGCCUGAUCCAGCAAUGCCGCGUGUGUGAAGAAGGCCUUCGGGUUGUAAAGCACUUUUGUCCGGAAAGAAAUGGCUCUGGUUAAUACCUGGGGUCGAUGACGGUACCGGAAGAAUAAGGACCGGCUAACUACGUGCCAGCCGCCGCAGUAA
rnacentral:rRNA from 1 species